rnacentral:rRNA from 1 species
AUGGUCGAUAACAUGAACUACGAGGAGCUACUCGCGCUGGAGGACAGGAUUGGCUACGUAAGCACAGGGCUGCGCGAAGACGAGAUCGUCUGCGGCCUUAGGGUUGGCAAAAACCUGCCGUUCGACCGCAAGCAUUUCUCAACAGAGACGAAGCGGAGCUGCAGCAUUUGCCAAGAAGAGUUUGAAGCGAGUGAGGAGGUAGGGAGGUUGAGCUGCGGCCACGGCUACCAUGUGCACUGCAUCAAGCAGUGGCUCUCCCGGAAGAACGCCUGCCCACUUUGCAAGACCGCCGUCUCAAAACCAUGA